CCUACGGGGGGCUGCAGUGAGGAAUAUUGGUCAAUGGGCUUACGCCUGAACCAGCCAAGUCGCGUGAGGGAAGACUGCCCUAUGGGUUGUAAACCUCUUUUGUCAGGGAGCAACGCCGGCUACGUGUAGCCGGACUGAGAGUACCUGAAGAAAAAGCAUCGGCUAACUCCGUGCCAGCAGCCGCGGUAAUACGGAGGAUGCGAGCGUUAUCCGGAUUUAUUGGGUUUAAAGGGUGCGUAGGUGGUUUUUUAAGUUAGUGGUUAAACGUCGGGGCUUCACCUUGAUUUGCCAUUAAUACUGUAAGACUCGAGUUCAGACGAGGUAGGCGGAAUAAGUUAAGUAGCGGUGAAAUGCUUAGAUAUAACUUAGAACUCCGAUAGCGAAGGCAGCUUACCAGACUGCGACUGACGCUGAAGCACGAGAGCGUGGGUAGCGAACAGGAUUAGAUACCCGUGUAGUC
rnacentral:rRNA from 1 species